GACGAACCGUGCGAACGUUGUUCGGAAUCACUGGGCUUAAAGGGCGCGUAGGCGGGUUCGCAAGUCAGGGGUGAAAUCUUUCAGCUUAACUGGAAAACAGCCCCUGAUAACUGCGAGUCUCGAGGGAGGUAGGGGCAUGUGGAACUUCCGGUGGAGCGGUGAAAUGCGUAGAUAUCGGAAGGAACGCCGGUGGCGAAGCGAACGUGCUGGACCUCUUCUGACGCUGAGGCGCGAAAGCUAGGGGAGCAAACGGG
rnacentral:rRNA from 1 species